UUGAACGCUGGCGGCAUGCCUUACACAUGCAAGUCGAACGGCAGCGCGGGGCAACCUGGCGGCGAGUGGCGAACGGGUGAGUAAUAUAUCGGAACGUACCCUAGAGUGGGGGAUAACGUAGCGAAAGUUACGCUAAUACCGCAUACGAUCUACGGAUGAAAGUGGGGGAUCGCAAGACCUCAUGCUCGUGGAGCGGCCGAUAUCUGAUUAGCUAGUUGGUGGGGUAAAGGCCUACCAAGGCAACGAUCAGUAGCUGGUCUGAGAGGACGACCAGCCACACUGGAACUGAGACACGGUCCAGACUCCUACGGGAGGCAGCAGUGGGGAAUUUUGGACAAUGGGGGAAACCCUGAUCCAGCAAUGCCGCGUGUGUGAAGAAGGCCUUCGGGUUGUAAAGCACUUUUGGCGGGAACGAAACGGGCCUUUCUAAUACAGAGGCCUAAUGACGGUACCCGCAGAAUAAGCACCGGCUAACUACGU
rnacentral:rRNA from 1 species